rnacentral:rRNA from 1 species
UACGAAGGGUCCAAGCGUUGUUCGGAAUCAUUGGGCGUAAAGCGAGCGCAGGCGGAUCAGCAAGUCAGAUGUGAAAUCUCGGGGCUCAACCCCGAAACUGCGUCUGAAACUGCCAGUCUAGAGUAUCGGAGGGGGUAGGGGAAUUUCACGUGUAGGGGUAAAAUCCGUAGAGAUGUGAAGGAACACCGGAGGCGAAGGCGCCUACCUGGACGAUUACUGACGCUGAGGCGCGAAAGCGUGGGGAGCAAACAGG